UCCUGGAUAUAUCUAUAGUGUGUGCCUAUAGUGUAGGGGGUGGGGAGAGGGUGGGGGUGCAUAGGAGGGUAGCAGAGCAUGUUCUAUUUUUACUAGCCAGUUGCUGUGGACCGUAGAUUUCAUAGUCUCCACCAGCCUUCAGCCCCUUGCAGUCUGCAGUCCUCCAGCAGCCCUAGACCAUCCCAACUCUCCUAAGACUGUAAUAGGUGCUGCUUUCCUUGCUACCAUGCCUGAACC